rnacentral:rRNA from 1 species
UUAACGAGAGAAGACAACAGGGAUUGCCCUAGUAACGGCGAGUGAAGCGGCAACAGCUCAAAUUUGAAAUCUGGCUCUUUCAGGGUCCGAGUUGUAAUUUGCAGAGGGCGCUUUGGUGUUGGCAGCGGUCCAAGUUCCUUGGAACAGGACGUCACAGAGGGUGAGAAUCCCGUACGUGGUCGCUAGCCUUCGCCGUGUAAAGCCCCUUCGACGAGUCGAGUUGUUUGGGAAUGCAGCUCUAAAUGGGAGGUAAAUUUCUUCUAAAGCUAAAUACUGGCCAGAGACCGAUAGCGCACAAGUAGAGUGAUCGAAAGAUGAAAAGCACUUUGGAAAGAGAGUCAAAUAGCACGUGAAAUUGUUGAAAGGGAAGCGCUUGCAGCCAGACUUGCCUGUAGUUGCUUAUCCGGACUUUUGUCCGGUGCACUCUUCUGCGGGCAGGCCAGCAUCAGUUUGGGCGGUUGGAUAAAGGUCUCUGUCAUGUACCUCUCUUCGGGGAGAACUUAUAGGGGAGACGACAUGCAACCAGCCUGGACUGAGGUCCGCGCAUCUGCUAGGAUGCUGGCGUAAUGGCUGUAAGCGGCCCGUCUUGAAACACGGACCAAGGAGUCUAACAUCUAUGCGAGUGUUUGGGUGUCAAGCCCAGACGCGUAAUGAAAGUGAACGGAGGUGGGAACCCUUUGGGUGCACCAUCGACCGAUCCUGAUGUCUUCGGAUGGAUUUGAGUAAGAGCAUGGCUGUUGGGACCCGAAAGAUGGUGAACUAUGCUUGAAUAGGGUGAAGCCAGAGGAAACUCUGGUGGAGGCUCGCAGCGGUUCUGACGUGCAAAUCGAUCGUCAAAUUUGGGCAUAGGGGCGAAAGACUAAUCGAACUAUCUAGUAGCUGGUUCCUGCCGAAGUUUCCCUCAGAUAGCAGUAACGUAUCAGUUUAUGAGUAAGCGAAUGAUAGAGGCCUGGGGGUGAAACAACUUCACCUAUCUCAACUUAAUAUGUAGAGUCCUUGUUACUUGAUUGAACGUGGACCACUGAAUGUACCGGUACCUAAUGGGCCAGUG